UGUUUGCGCGGAUUGUAAAAAUUGAAAGCAGUUUCGAGUAUUAAAGUGUUGGGUAUUGAUGAAUAGAAGAAUCGACGGUAUUUCACAGGAAUAUUCAUAAUACGGCGAUGCUCUUGUCUUAUGAUAUCGUAUAAUUGAAGCAAAAUUCAAUUUUUAACAAUCAUCUUAAUUUCAAUCCCUUCAAAUUUGUCUAUAACAGGUGUAAACUCGUAUAAACUUCCGUAAUCUAACGAUGACAACAGAGAUUACCGAUGCAUUUCUUUGGUGUCUGUAGAUAAUUAAACACUUCCACGAAUCGCUGAAUUUUCCCGUUCCACGGAUUACCGAGCAACAAGCAUAUUGAUUUUUCUAUUAAUGAUAGAUUUACGGACAUUUAUUCUAUACUUUAUUCUAUCGUUCGCAGAAGACUAUAUGUUUGUUUAUAUAGAUCGCGAAAAUUAGUGUUUCAAAACCUGAGAAUUAUAUGUAUUCGCAAAAUCGCAUCAAUCAAGAUCGACUUAAAUGAUUUCGAAAUAAUGUUUAAAAAAUUCAAUAUCCGUUAAAUGGACGAAUUCCGAUUGAAUCUAGUGUUACCAUUAUGUUCGAACACGAUGACAGUGAUUGCUACGAUUAUCUCUGCCACUGAUGCAAAUAUUUUCCACGUUCGAUAAAUGAGCGAUCGUCGUGACGAACGUGUCGAAGUGCUGAAAGUAUCCGCUGGGGGUAGCAAUAACGAGAGAUACGCUCUAGGGCAUUUCCGAACGUUUCGAGCGUCAGUCACGCGUUUCCGAGGACACUGGUGCACGAUAAAGUUUAUCGUUAUCUUACCUGCUCAACCGGCUGAUCGGAGAAAUGAACUUUCUGCUGGCCGGAGUUGAACAUCUUCCGAAUUACAGUACUUAGAACUUGGUCCGAGGUAACCACGCUUUAGACGACGCGUUAACGCGAAACAGAUUAAUGGGAACACAUUGUGCAGCGCGUCAUGGAAAGCGAGGAAGAGCUUCGAAGACUAAUGCAGUUGAGAUCCAUCCAAGAGAGUUAGCCAGAUUGCUCGCGUCUUCGCUGAUAGCGAUCGCGGAAAGGAGAGGCGAAGACGAAUGCAAGAAACCUCAGUAUCUCUAGAUGACUCUGUGCAAGAAUAAAUCUAUCAGCCGUGAAAGAUAUUAAACCCCGGAUCCAAUGAAGCAAUGAGAGAGAAGAAAGAAGUCGAAGGAUUUUCAGUAUCAGCAGAAAGCUAGAAAAAUCAGAAUCUUGAAUCAAAUCUGAUGCAUUUUCUGAAAAAUCUUUUAUUCUACUUAACUCAAGAAACAUCCCUUUACAAUACCUCGUUUCCAAGUUUCUACUUAUGAAUCCUAAUCUACCAACGUGGCGAUUUUCAAAUCUGACGAUUGCAGAAAUAAAGACUCCUGUGAGAACAAUUACUUAUCUACUGAAGAGAUUAACGAACAUUAUUUACAACGACAUUCCCAAACAAUAUACUAAGUAGUUACUUGCAGAUAAAAGGAAAAACCGUGUCGCUCCU